UGAAGUUGGCACGAGAGUGGACCAUAAUGAAACCGGAGUUUUUAGGGAGCUCACAUUUUGAAGAAGCAAAGGAAGGCAGUAAUUAUGACCACCUAGCCCAGGGGAGGCAGACACAGAGAGUUACUGGUUCUUCAAGCCUGGAUAAGAAAAAGAGAGGGAGACAGAAAAGCAAAAGUGCCUGCAAUACCAGAGCACCUGCUUUAUUAAAUCUUCCCCAGGGAGGUUCAUUAUUAAGCUCUGGAAUAUAAGAUCUUACUAUAAAUGGCAGAUAGGAACCUGUACUCUCUUCACUUGUAAUAUGCAUAUUUUACUGAUUUCUUAUUAAAAUCAAAUUUACCAAUCAGCUUAUGCACAAAAAUAUACUUCUUUGUAGAAUUUCAUGGGUGGAUACAGCAUAUUAAAUUGUACGGGAAAUGUUCACAUAUUCAUUAAUAAAGAUUCCUGCAUGAGACAAAACGAUUCAUUUUUAUUGCCUUUGCAUUUUUAGAGUCUGUGUAAGAUAACUGUCUUAAAAAUAUCAGAGAGAAG
rnacentral:lncRNA from 1 species